CACCACCACAAUCAAGAUAGCUAACAUUUCCAUCACUCCCCAAGAGCCCACAGUUUCUUCUUGUGUUGGGAUGGUCCCAAAGGCCUGGAAGGUACAUAAGAAGAAGGAUAAACUUCAAGGUCUCAGGCUACUUUAUAAAAGCUCUGUGAACAGCAAGACUGAAUCAGGACAUACUCUGCUGCUCAAAAUUUUAGCUUGGGUUGCCCACCAAGAAGCUUCCACAGAGAGAUCUUUAUAGCGUGUUGUAGGUUUCCCUGAUCUAACAAAACCCUGACUUAUAUUCCUAGUGAUUUUGAUAGAAAUUUGAGAGUUUAAAGCUAGAAUGAAGUUUUCAGGCCUUCUCAAUACAGCAAGCUAUAAAGUCAGCUAAUGUCUCUCCCUGUGGGAUUCUGUAGAAGAAUGAAAAGAUGUGAUGACUUCAUAAACUUUCAUGACUUUUCUCUAAUCAGAGACUCUACAUUUAAAACCCAUACACUAGAAAAUGAGGCCAAAUCCACCCACUCCAAGUGCCUUCCAGUCAGAUUAGAAAUUAAUCUUAAAGAAAAUUGGGAUCUAAUUCAGGCUUCAUCUGAGACAUAGCAAUUCAGUGUUUUCUUUUAAAGUAAAUUUAGCUCUGCAUGCAAGUACCAUAACAUCUAAUCUCAGUAGUUGUAACCUGCACAUUAGAAUAACUGAAAGUUUAAAAAAAUUUCAGUCCUAUUCUGCUUCCUCGCUCAGUUAUGAUUUAAUUGGUCUGGGAUGGGAGAGUUUUAAAAAUUCCUCAUGUGGCCCAAACUAAGAACCACUGAUCUAUGGGUUUUGAAAAUUUGCAGUGCUUGAUAAAUCUUUCUGGAUGAGUGCAGGGUAAAAUUUAAAAGUUGCAAAUGAAUUAUUUUGCUGUUUGAGUUUUAAUAUCAACUUAAAGGUGAUUUUUAUUUUGUGCUACUUUCUUCCUGAAUUAUUUGGAAAAAUUUUGAGACUUCCUUCUCCAGCUACAUAAGAAAAUGUUUAAAAUUGAGAUUAACAUUUGUUUUGGUGUUAGACGUAAAUUCUAAUGUAUGCUUUUAUAAAUCUCAGAGGCUAGGUCUGAGUAGUUGUGGCUAAUUGUGUUUUUCAGGACUGGACUUAACAUUGAUUUAGUCUGUCAUUCAGUUAACUUAAAAAAUCAUCAUAUUAGGAUUAUAAGGCAGAUAUUUCCUGCCUUCAAUGAAUUUGAAAUUAGUUCUGUUUAAGACUAAUACAACUUGGCCACUCAAGGGCCAUUUUCUUUUAGAUGAAACUGUUGGUGUCUUAAAUUCUUUAUCCUUAUGAAACAACCAAAAUUUGCAGGAGUUAAGCUCUCCCACUGUGCCAUGCACUAGUUUAAAGUGAUAUAGAUGCACAUAAAGAAGAAAAAAAAUUCAUGUCAUAUGUGAAGAAAAACAAAGCACCUCAUAAUCCCCAUCAAUGUAAAAUACAAGAGUUAAACAAACAUUCAAUAAAUUGCCCCU